AUACGGAGGGUGCAAGCGUUACUCGGAAUCACUGGGCGUAAAGCGCGCGCAGGCGGCUUGAUAAGUUGGAUGUGAAAGCCUACGGCUCAACCGUAGAACUGCAUCCAAAACUGUCAGGCUAGAGUGUGGGAGAGGAAGAUGGAAUUAGUUGUGUAGGGGUAAAAUCCGUAGAGAUAACUAGGAAUACCAAAAGCGAAGGCGAUCUUCUGGAACAGUACUGACGCUGAGGCGCGAAGGCGUGGGGAGCAAACAGGAUUAGAAACCCGGGUAGUCC
rnacentral:rRNA from 1 species